UCGAGCGACCGAUUGGGCUUGCCUUGAUUCGGCAGCGGCGACGGGUGAGUAACACGUGGGCAAACCUGCCCGCAAGACCGGGAUAACUCCGGGAAACCGGAGCUAAUACCGGAUAACACCGAAGACCGCAUGGUCUUCGGUUUAAAGGCGGCCUUUGGGCUGUCACUUGCGGAUGGGCCCGCGGCGCAUUAGCUAGUUGGUGAGGUAACGGCUCACCAAGGCGACGAUGCGUAGCCGGCCUGAGGGGGUGACCGGCCACACUGGGGACUGAGACACGGCCCAGACUCC
rnacentral:rRNA from 1 species